AUGAACGCUGGCGGCGUGGAUAAGGCAUGCAAGCCGAGCGGUAGAGAUUCUUCGGGAUCUUGAGAGCGGCGUACGGGUGCGGAACACGUGUGCAACCUGCCUUUAUCUGGGGGAUAGCCUUUCGAAAGGAAGAUUAAUACCCCAUAAUAUAAGAGACGGCAUCGUUUUUUAUUGAAAACUCCGGUGGAUAGAGAUGGGCACGCGCAAGAUUAGAUAGUCGGUGAGGUAACGGCUCACCAAGUCUACGAUCUUUAGGGGGCCUGAGAGGGUGAUCCCACACACUGGUACUGAGACACGGACCAGACUCCUACGGGAGGCAGCAGUGAGGAAUAUUGGACAAUGGGUGAGAGCCUGAUCCAGCCAUCCCGCGUGAAGGACGACGGCCCUAUGGGUUGUAAACUUCUUUUGUAUAGGGAUAAACCUACCCUCGUGAGGGUAGCUGAAGGUACUAUACGAAUAAGCACCGGCUAACUCCGUGCCAGCCGCCGCAGUAA
rnacentral:rRNA from 1 species